AUUGAACGCUGGCGGCAGGCCUAACACAUGCAAGUCGAGCGAGCGGCGGACGGGUGAGUAAUGUAUGGGGACUGCCCGAUAGAGGGGGAUAACUACUGGAGACGGUAGCUAAUACAGCAUACUAUCGGAUAACCCAUAGGGGAUUAGCUAGUAGGUGAGGUAAUGGCUCACCUAGGCGACGAUCCCUAGCUGGUCUGAGAGGAUGAUCAGCCACACUGGGACUGAGACACGGCCCAGACUCCUACGGAGGCAGCAGUGGGGAAUAUUGCACAAUGGGCGCAAGCCUGAUGCAGCCAUGCCGCGUGUAUGAAGAAGGCCUUCGGGUUGUAAAGUACUUUUAGCAGGGAGGCGUUAUCUGCAGAAUAAGCACCGGCUAACUACGUGCCAGCAGCCGCGGUAAUAC
rnacentral:rRNA from 1 species